rnacentral:tRNA from 1 species
GGGCUGGGGCUCAGCGGUAGAGCACUCGCCUGGCACCCGUGAGGCCCUGGGUUCGAUCCUCAGCAUCACA